GGAGGGUGCAAGCGUUAUCCGGAUUUACUGGGUUUAAAGGGUGCGUAGGUGGGCAGGUAAGUCAGUGGUGAAAUCUUCAAGCUUAACUUGGAAACUGCCAUUGAUACUAUUUGUCUUGAAUUAUCUGGAGGUAAGCGGAAUAUGUCAUGUAGCGGUGAAAUGCUUAGAUAUGACAUAGAACACCCAUUGCGAAGGCAGCUUACUACGGAUAUAUUGACACUGAGGCACGAAAGCGUGGGGAUCAAACAGGAUUAGAUACCCUGGUAGUCCACGCCCUAAACGAUGGAUACUCGACAUCAGCGAUACACAGUUGGUGUCUGAGCGAAAGCAUUAAGUAUCCCACCUGGGAAGUACGACCGCAAGGUUG
rnacentral:rRNA from 1 species